CUUUGAGGUGGCCCAGUAAUGGGCUGAAAAGGGAAGCCGGUGGAAGUCCGGCACGGUCCCGCCACUGUAACUGAUGAGAACAUCCGAAACUAUAAGCCACUGGCAAUGAUGCUGGGAAGGCAAGCGUUGUUCGAUAACAAUCAGGAGUCAGGAGACCUGCCUCUAAG
rnacentral:ncRNA from 1 species